rnacentral:rRNA from 1 species
UGCCAGCCGCCGCGGUAAUACAUAGGGGGUUAGCGUUGUUCGGAAUUACUGGGCGUAAAGCGUACGUAGGCGGAUUAAUAAGUUAGAAGUGAAAUCCCUGGGCUCAACCUAGGAAUUGCUUUUAAAACUUCUGUUCUGGAAUUCAGGAGAGGAAAAUGGAAUAUCCAGUGUAGAGGUGAAAUUCGUAGAUAUUGGAUGGAACACCAGUGGCGAAGGCGAUUUUCUGGACUGAUAUUGACGCUGAGAUGCGAAGGCAUGGGUAGCAAACGGGAUUAGAUA